UUGACUUUUGGGACUAAUGGGAGAUCAUAUAUGCAUAAUAUGAUGAAAUUUUAAGUAUACAUUGAAAUUUUUUAUCAAUUGUUGAAGAAGCUUGAUGAAGAAGUUACACAAGAUACCCAGAUGAACUAGGGUUUCCAAGGCAAACCUACUCCAAACUUUUGAUGAAUUUUUUACCAAAAUAACAUGUGAUGCUCAUGGGGAUCCAUAUAUGAUGCCUAGAGCCAUACUAAACCAAUUCUUG
rnacentral:lncRNA from 1 species